GUCAUUUUGAACAUUGUGCCUGCUAACGGCUCGUUUCCAGCCGUCAGUCCUAACGGGAACUUUGUGCGGAGCGGACGGAAAACGGAAACAACAGUCUCGGUCCAAAACACCUUACGUCAAGCCUUACUAAGUGAACAGAAAGAAGAGUGUUAUCAGUGUCACAGCGAAAUACAAAUCAUAAAAGCAUUGGAGAAAUGCUGCAUCAAUAUACAGUGAAACAGCCAGCCAGCAUAAAGUACUACAGUGAAAUUAUAUUGUUUGCAGACCAGUAAAUACACCACCCACAAAGGUCUAAGUGCAACAUCAGUGAUUGGAGACCUGGUAUACAGUGAAACCCUAGUGACACAUCUGAUUUACAGUGAAACGAGAGUGAUUGCAGCACCACAUAUGUAGCUCUCAGAUUUUUACAAUAGUGUCUACAAACAGUCAGGCAGCACUCUGUUGCUUAGGAAAUUACGCAAAUAUUGAUAAAGGUAAGCCAGGUGUUAUAUGAAGAUAGACAGAGAUAUGGAAUGAGGAAGAGGUCUCGUCUCUGACUGAUGAGAAGAGUGGUCUGACUCUGUUAGAGGUACGGAGAGAUCUACGAGUUUGUGGGAUAAGUUGACAGUUUCUGAUACAUAUUUCGGAGGAGAGAAUGUGAGAAAGGAGAUGUCACGACGAUGCCGCAAUAAAGGCGCUGAAUAAAAAAGAAUCCUGAAGCUGAUUUCGAAUGGCAACAGCACCAAUAACAAUAAACGGAAUUGCAACAAAAGUAAUUUGAAUUUGUGUGUAGACAGACACGGAGACAGAGACGGCAAUAAAGAUACACGGAGUGAGAGAGAGAGAGAACACUAGAAAAUUGUGUACAUAUUUUGUCUCUGUCUGUUCUGUCGUUUCGUCCGUGUAAAUAAAUACAAUGCAGAAAAAACAGCAACAGAAACAGAAAAAGCAACAGAAAACAGGAAUAACAAGAGAAAUGGCAAAAAGUGCAGUUAAGCGUGGAAAUUGCAUUAAAAAUUGAGCAAAAAAAAACAACAGAAACUGCUGGAAAAUAAAGGCGAAAAAAGAGAAAAGA